UUAGAUUUGCAUUUUGGGGAAUGCAGAAGUGUGUUUAAAUCAAGACUGAACAGUUGUUGAAUGUUUGUUUUGCUAAUGUCUGCCUGUGAAUGUCUUACAGAGCCCAGCAGAAAUCCAAUCUCUACCGAUCAUCCAGCCUGCAAAAAGAAAUUACAGUCAAUUUGUCAAGUAGAACCAAAAUCUAAUCUGUUUGUUUAAUGAUAUAAAGCUCUUUUCUUCAAGGCCAAAUAAACAGCCUCCCUGCCUUCAUGGCUGAUCACACACGACAUCUGAAUACUUACCAAUUUCAGAGCUUUCAUUCUAGUAUAUCUUAUUUUUAGCUCCAGUGCAUUUAUUCCUAUAUGUCAACUAGUAAAGAUGUAUUGAAUGUAUUUAUGGUAUCCUGUCUCGUUCACAUUAGAAGAAGGCUAUAUGACUUUCCCCACCAUCACAGAUUUCUAUACAGGGCUUUUACAUCCUGCCAACUACAGCUUGAAUUUAUUGUUUCUACUAUACCUUUGUGGUCUAUACAUAAAUGAAUAGGAAUGGUUUUGAUUUGAUUUUUUUUUCAAUCUGAUAUGCGAUUCCAUCUAAUUGGAACAAGCCAAAAGGAGGCAGUGCCAGCUAAUUUCUAAUGGGGAUCUCUGUUUGCCCCCUAAUUGACUAUAUAUCAUUGCAUAUGUUGAUGUCAAAAUGAGCAAUACUUCGAUAUUAAGGAUUUUUUUUUUAUUAUUAGUGACUGAAGCUAUUUGAUUCUUUGAAUAAUAAAACUGGAGAAAGUAUAAAGAGUGCAACAAAGUCCAAAGAAAGCAUGAUGGAGGCUCUUUAGUGACUGGGUGUGGUGUGAAUGGGUGAAUAUGACAAGUUGUGUAAGAGCAUUUUGAGAUGUCAGAUAUAGUAAAAAUUAGUAGCAUACAAGUCCACUUCAGUUUUUUUUACUGUAAAGGGGGGGUAGCAUGCAUUUUUUUCAGCCCCUAAAUUUCCUCUCUGAUACCUCUAUAACAUCUUUACGUAAUUUUUAGAUCAAAAAACGCCUAAAAUUUUUCACAAUGGUGUAUAAAAAUGUCGUUAUUUCAGCCUUCUGAGACACCUUUUUUCUUAAGUUUCAUAAAAAAAUAACAGUUGUUUUAUAUUACAUCGCUAUUUCACAUGACCUCCCUCUCAACUAGUUUUCCAAAUACGCCUGCCUGGCCUUCUGCCUGAAUUUGACAGAGCAAUUCAUAUGAUGAGUAAGAGCCUGAGAGCAUCAGCAUCCUCUACGCUGAUAGGGAGAGUAAUUCACAGAGGAAGAAAACAUCUAUCAAUUGAAAAUGAUCAGUAAAUAACAACACUAUAAAGAGAACUGAAUAACAUUAUUGGUUCAUCCUACUUUCAAGUGCUUGAUUUUCAAUGACACCACCGGAUGAAGGUAUUUGAUGACAGGUUAGAUUUGAACACACCGUAGGAUGUUCGUAUACAGAUAAGAGCAUAAAUCAGCCGAAGUGACGUCAGCAGGAUGCACUGAUGGCAUGGAAGUUUAGUUAGUGUCGACUGAAAUGUGACUCAUAUGCUCAAACAAACACACACUUUCAUUUUCACAGAUCCUGAAAGGUGCCUAGGGAGUAAGAGGUACUGAUGGUAGCCUUGCGCUAACCUUGACUCUUUGCCAGACAAUCAAGGGCAACAAACGGGUCCAUUCAUAGGCAGGGCCCACAUCCUACUGCUACCACCCACACAGACUGUCACCCUCCCGAGCAAGUGUCAUCUUGAGGGACUGGACCACACUGCACCUUGUCUGUCUUACACUCUAAAAGGCUUGGUAACAUGUAGCAACUUAAGGACAUCAGACUAACCUGAAUGUGGGGAGAUAAAUUAGCUUUCAUUACUCAUCUGUCAUCGGUCGAGUUGUGUACUCUUGGGGGCAAUUAAGAGCUGAAAUCACUGUGUGCAUCAUCACCACAGCACACAGAAUAAAAACGAGAAGCGCUGUAUUUGACUCUUAAUUACAUGCAAUUGGCGUUUAUUUCCUACCAUUCAUACAGUGACAAAAUGACAGGAAAAGAUACUGGCUUCACGUUUUGGGGCACAUAUCCAGAUUCUCGGUAUCUCCUAGAAGUCAGAAUAUUAUCAAAGCUUUGUCUGAGUAUGAUCAAAAACAAAUAAAAUCUAAUUAAUCUAGUUAUCACCUUACACAGGAGGCUGACUAAUCAUGCAUCCGAGCUCAGAACAUUUCACCAGACAGGAGAUCAUCGUCUUUAUUAGUCAUGAAGAAAUCUACAAUGAUAAGCUUCAAACUAGGGGUUCAAAUUCAAAGCACUUUUCUUUAUUGAUCUUUGAAAAUGUUAACAAUCGAUUAUUGAGUCAGUAAAAAGAAGAUACUUUCCAUUAACCCCCGGUUCCUACUAUGUCAGUUUUAAAGACUUUCAUUAUUUUUAUCAUCAUUAUUUCAAGUUCAUGGUCACACUUUUAAAGAUUGAGGCUUUGCAUUUAGACAUAUUUUUCUUCAUAUUUAAAAAAAAAAGGGUUGCCUAUAGAGCUCUGUUGAUGUAAAAUAGCUCCAUCCAGCUUUAUUUGCCCGAAAUAUGGAAAAUAGACUUCCAUUAAAAACAUGUUUCAUGAUCGUGUGUUUAUGACACCAAAACAACAUAUUGCAACCUUUUCUAUUCAGUCAUUCCAUCACCACGACUCAAAAUUUCACUAUUCCACAGCGGUCCAACAGAUUUUAACCCCCUUUUGUACUGUGCACAAAGGGCUUUGUUUAAAGUGUUAUGUCAUCCACUAAACAUCAUCUGAGUUCUGCAGUCUGGGACUAAGAAAGGGGAACAUUUGGGCAAUUUCAACUUUGCCCUCACUUAAUUGCAAGUGGAUGGACAUGCAUGACGAUGCACGGGUCCUUCCAAUCAAUAGGUGAGAAUAUAUCACAUCUCAAAUACGCAGUAAAUUUAUUUAAUGUAUGCGCAUAAUCAGCAUAAUAAUGGUCAUAUUUUGGUUAGAGGGGGAACAACAACUUGUCAGUGAUUUCUAUCAUACAUAUAUCGUUUGAUUUUUCAUGCUUGUAUAUAUAAUCAACUUACCAUGAACAAAUGCAUCCACUCGCAUAUGAUUUGGUAGGGGAAAAGGAGGUAAAACUAGCAUGUUUUUCAUUACAAUAGACUCAUCUGUUCAGUAUAAAUGCUAUAUACAGUAUAAAUUUAGUAUAAAUGCUUCCUUAAUGAAUCCAAGUCUUAUGACAUGGUGCACAAUAACAGGCAUAAAAACUGUGCAACAUAGAUUUUUUUUUUUUGUAGUGGUCAGGGAUAAAGUUGUUGAAGAGAUUUGAGUCGAUGGAAGUAAAGAUGUUCAUUUUAUUAACACUUAUCUGCAUGUCCAUGUUACGGCUGUGUGUUUGUUUUGUGUGAGUUUUUCCCCUUUUGUCUCCCCAUAGCUGCCCAGGUGAAAUCACUGAGUGCUAAUCAGACUCACCUGGUGAUGGGCCUUUAAAGACCGAGAGCUGCCUGCAGUCUGGAGAGGCAUUUGGUGGGGAACUGCUAUCCUGCUGCCUCUCAUUUGUGUUGUGGGUGCUUUGUGUUUAGUUUGCAAGUAAUAAAUAACCAUAGCUUGCAUGAAAAAGCAAAUCUGCCAGCAACACUAGAGUAUUAAUCAUAAAUGUUAGUGAUAUUUUAGUUUUGAUCAUAUUUCCUAGUUCUCCUGCCAGUUACAUACAUGCUGAAGUGUUGAGUACAUCAGGAUGCUGAUAUCGACCUGUAUGGUAGAAGGGUACUACAGAUCCUCAGCUGGCAUGACAGACACAGAGACAAAGGUGCUGAUCUUUAUGUCACAGUCACUUGAAGUGGCCCUUAAUAAAGAGGCUGCAGCUGAGGAAGAAAGGAUUAUCCUUGCUCUCAGAGCCAAGGCUGUGUCCCAUUAGUGGUGGACCACUGACAAUAGAGGUCUCGAUGACAAGGUGUGACUGGGGACAGGCUUUGGAUGUCAGCUAGCACGGGCUAAUUAUUGUAAGGUGCUAGCAAGGACGGUGAAACUAAAGGGAACCAGGCAAAAGCACAAGACAGCAGUUGGGGAAAAAAAAGGCUUUUUGAUGGAGGGAGCAAAAGCAGCAGUUCUGAGUCCUGCAGUCCAUAACUACAUGGAGUAAUACUGAAACCCUUUCCUGCAGGCACUACACAUCAUUCAGAGUAGCACAGCUGUUGAGAGCCAAAUAAAUCACUGUUACACAAGGGCCGCUCUUAUGAGGAAGUACGCUAGCAGGAAUCCCCUUGUUAGCUUUUUCAUUUUUGAGGAUUAGUGAAGCUUCCUUUAAAAGAGCCUCUAACAAAAAACUGAUGUCCUUCUCCCAACAGUCAAGGUCUAAUGUGUUCAAUUCCAGUCCUGGUCAAGCCCUUUCCUGCAUGGUGUUCCAUCCUAUUCCCACAUUAUAUGUCACCCUUUAGCUGUCAAGACCCACUCUGAUGAAAGUCAUGUUUUUCUUGUUGUCUAUGUGGCAUUUUUCUGAUGCUAGAGGACAUAUCAUGAGAAAACGAAGUGCAAAAUUACAUUUCUGAGUAGUUCUCGUUCGAAUUGCUCUGACCUUCUAACAGACCCAAACGACAGGCUCAGACACGGUGAGAUUUCCUACAUCACAAAUCCAAGCUCCAGCCCUGGAGCCCCGCUAUGCAGGACAGACCCCAAAAAUUAGAUUCGACAAUUGCAUAACAAGUGUGUGUGUGGUAGGGGAUUUGCAAUGCUCCAUGAAAGCUAAUUAUGAUAUUACCUUUCAUCAUGCCCCUAAAGACAAUAGCUCCUAUUUUACCUGCCACUUCUACUACAUUGGCAAUGUUAGGCUGCAUGCUAACAUGAAGACAAGUGUGCAGAGCAGCGCUGUCUCCGCCCACAACUCAAAGGCGAAUUGCUAAUGAACUACUGGAGCUCUGCAGAAGAAAAACCCUUGAAAAUGACACAAGUAAUGUGAUUUUGGCAAAAAACUCCAUAAUCACUUCAUAAGCAGACCACUGAUAACACUUCAAGUAGUUAAAAAAACAAUUAGAGUGGGACUUUGAUGCAAAUGCCUGAAAAAAUAAUCCAAACUUAAUUCAUGCAAAUGUACACUAAUACAUUUGCUUGAUUGUGAGGGAGAUUGUGUGUGUACAGUGAAGAGUGACUCUGUUCACAGGCCCAUCCAUUCGAGGUCAAUCCCCAUAUCAAAGAAAAAACAGAGGAGAAAAACAAGCUAUGCUUGAUGGCUUUGACUACAAGGCCACAAGGUUUCAGCCACAAAAUAUGUACAGGCCUUUAACUUUUUCACUCUCCACUGCAAAUUUCUGACACCCACACUUUGUCAUGUUGAAUGUUUUACUGAAGCAGUUUGAAAGGCUGCACUAUUUGAUGUACUACACGUUGUAUGUACUGUGCUUGUGUCUACUUGGAGUGUAGGGAUCAUUUUGAGUACACAUCUCUCUCAAAAUAAGAUCGUUGGACCUUUGCCUAUAUCCCCUCUUUAGAUGAAGUUUCAAAGAAUACCUGUCAUACUUAUCAUACCUGGCACACAGAGGUCUUUUAUGAAGCCACUUAAACACAGCAAAAAAUCAUUGCUACCUCAUCAUAAAGUCAUCUCAAAUAAAAUAAAGUAGCACAAAAAGAAAAUCUGUAUUCUGUUCAUUUGUUUCCACAACAAAAGCAUGCUUUGGCAAGAGCCACAUCUCUAGUGGGUGACAGUGCUCAUGCAGAAAAUGCAGAUUCCAUCCCAGAAAAACAACUGAUUUCAUCCAAAGGAGUCACUGGAAUCAACACAACAUGCAGUGUCCACACUAAGCCUCUGUUACAUAGCACAGUAACAUAUAAUGGUUCUAUAACAAUGGGUUAUAGAAUAAAACAGGUGCUUUACUUAACAAUAGACAUGGCUUUUUAACUUCUCUUAAACACUUUUCCUGCUUUUCUACCAUCCAACAUGAACAAAUUACUUGAGAUAAAAUGCCAACCAGGACUCCAUAAUAGCCCACUACUGUGUGAAUAUAGCAUAAAAAGGCAGUAAAUGUCACUGUGCUCCAUUAAGAAGUCCUUUGUCUGAGAUGCUGUAGCCCCUCAGGGCUUAAUGGUCUUUGUAUUCUCGAGCAUGUCACUUUUUUCAAGAGGGGAAUGUCCUCUCUGUUUGGUCCCAUGUGGUCACCAAACACCAGGACAAGGCAUUGUAUUUGUAGACAGUCUGCCAGGAAAUCCAGUUGGAUUAGAGUGCUAACAGCAAUGCAGUCUUUUUUUGUAAUAGUGCAGAUGCACCAAGACAGUUGCAAAAACACACUCUGAUAAACAGCCGCAGUAGUGGAAAAUGUCUUUUACAUGCAAAGAUGUUGAUCAAUUUUCCUAAUAAUCAAUCAAUCUUAAUUUGUGUAGCACUUUUCAUACAAUAUAAUGGAGCACAAAGUGUUUUACACACAAAAAGAAAUCUGCAUGCAAGACACAGGAAAGUCAACUCUGCUGACCGGGUGACCUAGAAGUGAGUUAAUAAAUAAACCGGUUACUGGAGUCCUUAAACUAGUUGAAGGUCGGAUGCUGCUUUGAGAGAAUCCCACAUUUCCAGAUACAUGUCCCAGAGGUAGCAGCAUGACCAGAUCUAAUGAGAUGACAAACACUGAGUGCUCUGGUGGCUGAGUGCCUGUGGGGAGAAACACUAAUGUGUGUUUAUCUGCAGCGUGUGUGUGCGUGCUUCCCCUAAGAUUCACCCAUACUCUGUACUCACACCUCCCAAUGGAUGAGCGUGGGCUCCCCCAUGCACUCCCUUGCGUUCCCACGCCUUGGCCAUCGCUCUUUGACAUGACUAACGUAAACAGAUGUUUUGCUGUGACAGGAAGUGGCCGACUUCUGAGGGGCUGAUGGAAAAGAAGCUGUUCGGCUCCGUGACAGAGAACAGUGAGGAGGUCACAGUGCAGCAGGAAGCUGUGUGUUUGCAAGGGGUGUUGGGGAUUGAAGAGGCUGAAGGGACAGUCUGUAACCGUACAGACAGGGUUAAACAGCUGGGUUCACCUACAUUGCCUUUAUGGUUCUAACCUUAGUGACCCGCAACAACAUAAGGACUGAAAAUCAAUGGCAAAAUGGAGGGAAGAAAAAUGAGUACAACAAAGAGGGAGAGACAGAAGAGGGAGAAAAACAGAAUCACUCUUAUAGGCUGUCCUCAACAAAUAACCACGCCCAAAUAAGUGAAUGAGAAUGUUUUCCUACCAGCUAAAGCACUUGUCAGAGUCAUUAUUAUAUUGAUGCUGA
rnacentral:lncRNA from 1 species